rnacentral:lncRNA from 1 species
CUUCUCACCAGAAACCCUAGCGCCACCCCCUGUCUCCGCCGCCCACCGUCAUCAGCCGCCGGUCAAAAAUUGCCCACAGCGGCGGCUGAACUCCGAUUAGCCCCAAAUUUACAAUACUUGAACACCUCCCUCUCCUCUUUCCAAAUCCAUCCCCGCUUCCCUCGAAUCCCACCACAUCCCUUUGAAUAUUAGUUUGAAAUACCGUAUCCUCCACCGUGUACGGCGGUGCCACCACCAACUGGCGACAAAUUAUCACCCCAUGGCCUCCUCACCCUCCUUUUUCUGAAUCCAUAACUGAUAACCUCCAAGUCCUUCCCAAGUGGCUUGAAUUUUAGAUCGAAGUUCGACCCAGAACCCUAAUUUGCCCAGAACCACCCAAAAACCACACCCUACAGUCUCUUUACCUCCCUCACCUCAGAACCAC